rnacentral:lncRNA from 1 species
CAAAAGCACACACUGAAAUGUCACACCUUCUUCAAUAACCAUUGAUAUUAUGUUGAAACUAAACAUUGACCAAUUAACCAUAAAAAUGAGGUCAAGGUCAGAUAUACCAAGCCAGGCAGACAUGUACAGUUUACGAUCCUUCCAUACAACAAAUAUCGUUGACCUAUUGCUUAUAGUUUAAGAAAAACAGACCAAAAUACAAAAACUUUACACAG